rnacentral:rRNA from 1 species
AUUGAACGCUGGCGGCAGGCCUAACACAUGCAAGUCGAACGAGUGGCGGACGGGUGAGUAAUGUCUGGGAACCUGCCUGAGAGAGGGGGAUAAACACUGGAAACGGUAGCUAAUACCGUAUAACCUCAUGAGUCCCCAGAUGGGAUUAGCUUGUUGGUGGGGUAACGGCUCACCAAGGCAACGAUCCCUAGCUGGUCUGAGAGGAUGCACAGCCACACUGGAACUGAGACACGGUCCAGACUCCUACGGGAGGCAGCAGUGGGGAAUAUUGCACAAUGGGCGCAAGCCUGAUGCAGCCAUGCCGCGUGUAUGAAGAAGGCCUUCGGGUUGUAAAGUACUUUCAGCGGGGAGGCGUUACCGGCAGAAGAAGCACCGGCUAACUCCGUGCCAGCCGCCGCGGUAAUUC